AGUACACGCUGUGACUAGCAUAUCAAUAAGCGGAGGAAAAGAAACUAACAAGGAUUCCCCUAGUAACGGCGAGUGAAGCGGGAAGAGCUCAAAUUUGAAAUCUUAAAGGGUUUCCCUUUACGAAUUGUAGUUUAAAGAAGUGUUUUCUGUUGAGGUUUUGGUAAAAGUUCUUUGGAAUAGGACAUCAUAGAGGGUGAGAAUCCCGUAUUUGACCUUUACUUUCAACUUUGUGAUACACUUUCAAAGAGUCGGAUUGUUUGGGAAUGCAGUCCAAAAUGGGUGGUAAAUUUCAUCUAAAGCUAAAUAUUGGCGAGAGACCGAUAGCGAACAAGUACCGUGAGGGAAAGAUGAAAAGAACUUUGAAAAGAGAGUUAAACAGUACGUGAAAUUGUCAAAAGGGAAGCGUUUGACACCAGUGUUGUUUUUCUGAAAAUCAAUUAAAGAACUGUUCAUGCUAAGCUGUUUAGACUUUAUCAGCUAUCUGUUUAGUUUUGAGCUUUUCUUUUAAUGCACUUUUCAGUUAACAAGUCAACAUCAAUUUCUUUUGCUGUAAAAAAGCUUGAGGAAGGUGGCUUGAGAUUCGUCUUAAGUGUUUAUAGCCUCUUGCCUAUGCAGUCGGAGAGAUUGAGGUCUGCAGCGUAGAUCCUUCGGGGCUAAAUGCAUUUGUGCUAAGUUAUAGCAUUUUAUAGACAACUUGUUGACUAUGAUUUGUCUUGUAGCUUACUCGCUUAUGUUAUUUUACCUACGCUUAGGAUGUUGAUAUGCAUGACUGAUAU
rnacentral:rRNA from 1 species